UGGGGAAUAUUGCACAAUGGGCGCAAGCCUGAUGCAGCCAUGCCGCGUGUGUGAAGAAGGCCUUCGGGUUGUAAAGCACUUUCAGCGAGGAGGAAGGGUAGUGUGUUAAUAGCACAUUGCAUUGACGUUACUCGCAGAAGAAGCACCGGCUAACUCCGUGCCAGCAGCCGCGGUAAUACGGAGGGUGCAAGCGUUAAUCGGAAUUACUGGGCGUAAAGCGCACGCAGGCGGUCUGUUAAGUCAGAUGUGAAAUCCCCGCGCUUAACGUGGGAACUGCAUUUGAAACUGGCAAGCUAGAGUCUUGUAGAGGGGGGUAGAAUUCCAGGUGUAGCGGUGAAAUGCGUAGAGAUCUGGAGGAAUACCGGUGGCGAAGGCGGCCCCCUGGACAAAGAC
rnacentral:rRNA from 1 species